CCCUUAGAUGUUCUGGGCCGCACGCUCGCUACACUGACGAUGGCAACGAGUUUUUCCUUCGCCGAAAGGUGUGGGUAAUCUUUUGAAACAUCGUCGUGCUGGGGAUAGAUCAUUGCAAUUUUUGAUCUUGAACGAGGAAUUCCUAGUAAGCGCGAGUCAUCAGCUCGCGUUGAUUACGUCCCUGCCCUUUGUACACACCGCCCGUCGCUACUACCGAUUGAAUGGUUUAGUGAGGACUCCUGAUUGGCGCCGCCGCCCCGGCAACGGAGCAGCGGACUGCCGAAAAGUUGUUCAAACUUGAUCAUUUAGAGGAAGUAAAAGUCGUAACA
rnacentral:rRNA from 1 species